ACUUUCAAAGGAUAGAAGUUAUCCAAUGGCUUUAGGGGCCAUCUUCCCUUGGUGCAACUCCAAGUGAGAGUA
rnacentral:tRNA from 1 species